AAGAGAAAAUCUUUAUUAAAUCUCAUAUUUAAUACAUCAGCAUUUUACACCCAAAGUUUAUAGAGCUUAACUCAUGUCGACUCUAACUGUGCUUGGGAUGGAAACCUUCAGUUCCUGCUGCGAAUAUCUUUCCCAUUUCCAACAACGCAAAAGAUUUGUUGCACAAAAAGUGGACAUUGCUAGAUAGACAGAAGGCGAGCCCAAGCAGGGGCCGAAGAGGGCCAGCCCUGCUUUCCCCAUAUAUGACGUCCACCCCCCACUGCCGCCCCUCCCGUCCAAGUCUGCAGCGCCUUGGGAGCCGGAGCAGGAGGAGGCCACGGCGGGGGGCGCGUGGAACUGGAACGCAGCACCGCCUGGCGAAAUAACGCCCGCCGGGCAACGGACGGCGGCGCCCACCCUCCGACGGCGCGCCGGGAAGAGCGGCCGCACCACGCAGAGCAGCCGCCCGGCGGCCCGGACGUCGCGGCUGCCUGGACAAUGGCGCCCCGCGGCUGCCACACGGACUGCGUGGAGCGGCCCCUGUCGCGCGCGCUCCGCUCCUUCGGCGCCUUGGUGGGCGCGCAUCCGUGGCCCUUCCUGCUGGCGCCCGUGGCGCUGACCGUCGGGCUGGGCACGGGCUUCGUGAUGCUGAGCAGCCGCGAGGCCAACGACAUCGAGGGCCAGUACACGCCCGUCGGGGGCCCCGCCAAGGCGGAGCGUCGCUUUAUCCGGACGCACUUCCCGACGGACGACGCGCGGCGCUUCUCCCCGCAGAGGCUGAGCACCGAGGGCUCCUUCGCCUCCUUCAUCGCCGUGGCCUCCGCCUCCGGGGGCAGCGACUCGGUGCUCACCAAGGCGGCCUUCACGGAGCUGCUGGAGCUGGACUCGGCGGUGCGGGCCAUGACCGCCGGCGAGCGAAACUUCGCGGACCUCUGCGCGCGCUGGAACAACACUUGCCUGAGCCCCAACCCGCUGAUCACCGCCGUCGAGGGCGACGCGGCCGCCAUAGAGACGCUGCUGCCCGCGCUCACCUUCCCGCUCUACCAGAGCCACGUGUUCCUGGGCUACUUCCUGGGCGACGUCGUGCUGGGCCCGGGAAAUGGCACCGCGCGCCCCGUCCGGGCAGCCCGGGCGAUGCGCCUCGUCUACUUCUUCCAAGAGGACGGAGCUUCGCAGCGACAGGCCAGCAAGGUCUGGAUCGAGACCUUUCUGGAGCGCAUCCCCGUCGUGCUGGGCACUAUGAACCUCCAUUUCACCCGGGUAAGCGCCGCGCGUGCACGUCUCGGGAGGCGCGCAGCUCCGGGCAGACCGCUUUGCGACGGCGCUGCCUUGUGCUCCGCAGUUGCGCCCUUAGUUUUGAUAAAAAGCCGUCGAGGUUCUCAAGCGUGGGUUGGCUUUCCUCGCCCGAAAGGCUCCUAGGGCAAUAGAAGCAGGAGGACAGGCCCUGCCCCAGCCUUGCCAUCCAAAAGCCGGGACGGAAAAGGGAUGCGGAGGAAGCUCAGAGCUGCGCUGACUCUGUGACUUAUAUGUUAGGAUGGGGCUAGCUAGCACCUGCAGGAUGCAACCCUCCCCUUGCAUAACAAUAUAAUAUCGAAUUUAUAUGCCUACAGCCAAGGGUGCCAACUUCAAUAAAAUAUUGUGGGGCCCAGGUAAAUAGACAUCAGAGGGCUCUUCAGGCCUGAGAUCAGAGUCCAGCGUUAUGAUUAAGAUGCACGUGGGUGCCAUGACUCUAACCUCAAAAAUACACAUUUUAAAAAUAUGCAUAUCCUUUAUUAAAGAAUGGCUUGGUGCUCUGAAGGGGAGCAGUGGAAGAUGAGCGACCACUGGAAACCUUCCCUCCCUCCAUACCCAGAAUGAGCAAAGGCAGAGCUUUAAAUCAGACCACCCUCAACCUUUUAGAUUAUAUUAAACUAAUAUGGAAGAAGAAUUCUUUUUUUAGGCUUCAGUCCUAUGUCCGCUAAACAUGGAAGUAAAAUGUGAUGUACUUCUCAGUGGACACAUGUAGGGUUGCUGAAAUUAAACAGGCUUGAAAAAACUGGGCAGAGAGUUUUUUUAAUUAUCGUGCAAAAAGUAUUUCCAUGGAAUGAAGUUGCCAUUUCUGGAGCUUCCAACUAACUGUUGUUGUUGUUGUUGUUGUUGUUGUUGUUUACAUAAUGCAGUGAAGGAAAUUACAAUAUAACCAUUCAUUUUAUGAUUUUUCUUAGCCAGCCUUGAUACCCUCCAGAAUAUUAAGCUACAUCUUAAGAGAUCUAUUAUGCAAUAGUUUGUCUUAUUCUUUCUUUCCUCACUUGGCAGGUGACCUAUUUUUCCUCAGAAUCCAGACAGAAAGAAUUUGGAAAAAUUACCAAGCGCGUGAUCCCAUUGGUUUCUGUCACAUAUUUUUUAACAAUAUUCUUUUCCAUUGUAUCAUGUGCAAGGUAAUCUCCCCACCUUAAUUCUUUGGAGAGGGAGGGAAAAUCCCUGUCCCCCCCCCACCCCACCAUCACAGGUAGAUCUGCAAUAUGCACUAGCUAAGUGAAGUAUUGUAGAUGGAUAGAUCUGCUUAAAGAAAUCCCAGUACAGUGGUACCUCGGUUAAGAACUUAAUUCGUUCUGGAGGUCCGUUCUUAACCUGAAACUGUUCUUAACCUGAGGUACUUUAGCUAAUGGGGCCUCCCGCUGCUGCCACACUGCUGGAGCACGAUUUCUGUUCUCAUCCUGAAGCAAAGUUCUUAACCCGAGGUACUAUUUCUAGGUUAGUGGAGUCUGUAACCUGAAGCGUCUGUAACCCAAGGUACCACUGUAUUGAAAGCUAAUUGGGAAAGUGUCACUCAGCAAAUGAAGUGAAAGUCUCAUGAAAAACACUGCAGCAAAAUGGAGUCAGAGAUCUGGCCCAAAUGUAGGCCUACUAUGUAGAGUGAAGCCCACUAGUAGACGGAAGAGGCAAUGUUCUCAAUAGCUAGAGUGGCUUGUUCACUCUCUGUCAGUUUCAAUUUCUCAAAGUUACUGUUUCUGUUUAUUCCUCCCCACCCCCACAUAAUAUUUUCUUGAUUUAGUAUGUAUUUUUGUGUUCUUAUAUUGUGAACUCCCCUGUGAUCAUUGGGUUGAAGGGCGGUAUAUACAUUUAAUAAAAGUUAAUAAUAAAAAGUGCAAUAAUAACAAAAAUAAAACAAAUUAAAAAUGUAACCUAUGAAACGUCACAGCCCGUAAAAACCAAAGGACAAAGGUACAGCACAGUUCCAAAGAGAUAAUAAAGUGUUAACCCAUACAAAGGUUUCCUUUACAAAUCAUAAAGAUAAGUUUCUUAAAAAUGCAAGUAUUCGCCAUCUGUGAACUCCAUCAUUAUUAAACCCUAGAGUAUUUCUAUUUCUUACAGUUGUAAGAAAUACGUGCAACUGCUGUGUGGCACUGUCAUUUUGUUCAAGGAAGCUGCAAAUUGGCACAUUACCACGGAACUCUGAACCCAAACAUAAUUCUUCUUUAUCUGCUUUACAGGAUGGAUUGUGUACGGACAAAAAUUUGGAUUGCAAUUUUUGGGGUGAUGUCAGCAGGAUUAUCUGUCGUCAGCAGCUUUGGAUUACUGCUGUUUUGUGGGGUGCCAUUUGUUAUCACAGCCGCAAAUUCACCCUUUCUUAUACUUGGUAAGUGUAUACAUUCCUCAUGCCUUCUUAUCCAUUGGGCUUUUGAUGGGUGUGCCUAAAGUAGGUAUUGGGCAGUAAUUCCAUAUAAAUCUGUGAUCGCUUGGAGAAUUUAAUGCUAAUUCUUGUUUUUUUAUUUGAAAUUGCAUAAGCAGAAAAGUUUUAUAUCACAUGUGUUGCAGGGGGCGGGGCCAGAUGUCUCUUCCAAUCUCUUCCAACACUAUAAUUCUAUGAUGCUAUCAAUGGGCAUAUGCAAACAUUUUUCAUCACAUGCCUUCAAAACAUUUAUUAGCAAAGGGCAGAUCUAGACUUGAUUGCUCCUCCUACAGGAGGGGAAUGUGGCCAGAAUGAAAACUUGUGUGGAACAAGGAAAGCUUGCUUUGUGUGCAGUGCAUUUACGCAAGCCAAUGCUUUUCCAUCCCUGCUGUUAUAAAUUCCUGAACGUUCUUUGUAAAGCACUCAAAUAUCAUUUUAUAAAGAAAAGUAGGUUUCCGAUUUGUAAAUACAGCCGUACCUCGAUUCUCAAAUGGAAUCCAUUCCAGAUUCCGAAACUGUUCAAAAACCAAGGUGCGGCUUCUGAUUGGCUGCAGGAACUUCCUGCAGACAAUCGGAAGCCGCGUCGGAUGUUCAGGUUCUAAAGAAUGUUCGCAAACCAGAACACUCACUUCUGGGUUUGCAGCAUUCGGGAGCCAAAACGUUUGAGUCGCAAGGCAUUCGAGAACCAAGGUACCACUGUCAGUAAAUGACUAGGUGUGUUUCCCUAGUAAAUAUCCAUAUUGUUCUCCUAUGGCAUGUUUGGAACUGGUAUGUUAAAUAUUUUUCUAUUCUUCAGGGGUUGGUGUUGAUGACAUGUUCAUCCUCGUGUCCUGCUGGCAGCAGACUAAAGUGAAGAAGGGAGUCACAGAACGGAUGGCUGACACCUAUGCAAAGGCAGCUGUCUCCGUUACCAUCACAACACUUACCGACGUUUUAGCCUUCUACAUUGGAGUUGAAAGUUCCCUUGUGUCUAUUCAGUCAUUUUGUUUGUAUACGGGCACAGCUUUUGUGUUCUGCUACAUCUACAACUUGACUUUCCUUGGGGCAGUUCUUGCUCUUAAUGGCCGAAGAGAAGAAAGCAACAAGCAUUGGCUCACAUUCAAGAAAGUGAUGGAUAAGCCGCAGGAUUCAAAGAGCCGUAUGUAUAACAGGUGCUGUAUAGGAGGGGCUUUCGACGAGUCCACUGGAACAGAGACUGAACAUCCCAUGUAUGGCUUCUUUAGAAAUCACUAUGCCCCCUUCCUGAUGCACACCAGGACCAAAUUGUCUGUGGUAGUCCUGUAUCUGGCAUACCUGGUUAGUAGUGUUUACGGGUGCAGUCAACUUAAAGAAGGUAUAAAUGUUCGACACCUAGCUGUAGAUCGUUCUUAUGUCGUUGCGUAUUAUGACUCAGAAGAAAAACAUUUUACUGAGUAUGGCCCAAGGCUCAUGGUUGCUGUUACAGAAAGCAUACCAUAUUGGAAUUCAUCUGUCCGUGCAAAUCUUGAGAACUGCAUGCAGUUGUUUGAGGAGUCCUCCUAUGUGGAUAAGAGAUUAUCGGAGUCAUGGCUGAGAACUUAUGAAAUGGUUGCAAAAGGGGCAUCUUUAAAUUUAGAUGACCGUACGUCAUUUAUGACUAACUUAAAGACUCUUUUCCAAGCAAAUCCAGAGUAUGAGUGGGAUGUUAAUAUUAGUGCUACUGAAAUAGUUGCAUCACGGUUUUUCAUACAAACCGUCAAUGUUACUACUGCAGUACAUGAGAAAAAUCUUUUAAACCAAAUGAGACAACUUGCUGAGGACUGUGAGACGCCACUAUUGGUUUAUCAUCCAGCUUUUAUAUAUUUUGAUCAAUUUGCUGUAAUAAUGGAAUACACCAUUCAAAAUGUUUUGAUUGCUGCUGGUGCCAUGUUAGUAACUUCCUUGCUGCUCAUCCCCAAUCCUCUUUGCUCUCUGUGGGUAACAUUUACUAUUGUAUCCGUUUUUGUCGGUGUUACUGGUUUCAUGGCCCUCUGGAAUGUGAAUCUUGACUCCAUAUCUAUGAUCAACCUUGUUAUCUGCAUAGGGUUUUCAGUAGACUUCUCUGCUCAUAUUUCCUAUGCCUUUGUUUCCAGUGAGAAACCCAAAGUGAACGACAAGGCAGUGGAAGCUCUCUACCGCCUUGGUUUCCCUAUCCUACAGGCCGCUGUUUCCACCAUUGUGGGCAUCCUGGUGCUGCCCAUGUCAUCCACUUACGUCUUUAGAACCUUUUUUAAGAUAAUGUUUCUAGUUAUUUUUUUCGGGUCUCUUCACGGUCUCGUUUUUAUUCCUGUAUUUUUAACGUUCUUUGGGUUUUGUGGUGAAGUUUCAAACAAAGAGGACCAAAACGAUAGCAAGGGCAUUGAAAAAUCACCCAGUGUUUAAGGAAAACAUUGUUCAUAUGGAAACAAGAUUGAGGAACUCCAUUUUCUAGAAGGAAAUGUUAUGGGGAAACUGAGGUUUUAGAAUGAAAAAUGGAACUAGUGAUUGUGAACAUGGAAGGAAAAACCAUAAUCAAUCUAUAUUGCCUGUAAAUAGCUUGUUAAAUUGAAGGAAUAUGUUCAGUUGUUCCUUACGUUCCAUAGCUAUCUAAUCUUCCUGUUUAUGUUAUGUAAAUACAUUACUUGGUGUAAAAUUUUCACUUGAAAUGUGUUGUGGUUUGUUACAAGACUCCAAAACAAUACAUGUUUAUUAAGCAAAGCAUAUUUCAGUCAUUUGCUGAUAGUAUGGUACACCCAAAAUAAAUUAAUGUGGGAUAGAGAUUGCUC